UGAAGUACUUGCUGGUGGAGGCGGGCCUCCAUGGCUCACACGGGGAACUCUGAGGUUAUGGCGCGACAACGGCGACUCCUUAUGGCCAGAUAGAUGCGCCUAACCCUUGCUCCCCUCAUCGUAUCCCCUCCUCCGGCAGGAACUCGUCAUCUGGUGAGAUCCCCUCCCCAUGCCUCCAACCGUGUGCCAAGCACCGGCAAGAAAUUUUGUUUUGUG
rnacentral:lncRNA from 1 species